UAACUUAAAAAAAAAAAAAAAAAAGUCUGAUGGAUUCCUCCUUCCAAGAAACCAUCAAUAUAUAAUUAACAAGCAAUAACAUGCGACUCAAACAAAAGAAUUCAAACCCAUUUUCACAUGAGGAAUGAAGACUACAAAAACCAAACUAUCAGACCCAGAUGACAGUAAAAUCCCAUAAACGAAACUAAACAGUAUAACGUGAAAAUCCCACAAAGUGAGAGUGAAGUGAGAAAUAUAUGCAAAAAGAAAAAGAGAAGUGAAACCAGAGUGAAGCGAGAGAGGAGAGAACAGACCUUGGUCAAACUCUACCAAUAGGA
rnacentral:misc_RNA from 1 species